rnacentral:rRNA from 1 species
UCAAAAUCCACAUACAACUAAUGAAUUAACUAUAAUUAACUAUAGUAAAAUUAUACUAGAACUAGUAAUAAGAAAAUACAUUUUUCUCCCAAUCUAAGUGUUGAGCAGAACGAAUAAGUCACUGUUAUAUACCGAUUUUUAAAUUAUAAAUAAUUAACAAGAUAUGCAUUAAUUCACUAUCGUUUAACCUACACAGGAAGAUUAAUAAGGAAAGACUAAAAAAUAAAGAAGGAACUCAGCAAACCCAAAUUUCGCCUGUUUACCAAAAACAUCGCCUCCAGGAACUUAUAUAUUGGAGGUACUGCCUGCCCAGUGACUCUGUUUAACGGCCGCGGUAUUCUGACCGUGCAAAGGUAGCAUAAUCACUUGUCCUUUAAAUAAGGACUAGUAUGAAUGGCAAAACGAAAAUUUAACUGUCUUCUUUAUUUAGUCAAUAAAACUGAUCUUUUCGUACAAAAGCGAAAAUACUAAUAUAAGACGAGAAGACCCUAUGGAGCUUUAAACACGUCAUCAACUGUAAAUAAAACUACACCUAUGAUUGACUGUUUUUGGUUGGGGCGACCACGGAGAAAAUAAAACCUCCGAAUUAAAUGCUUAGAAUACAUAUCAUGCAAUAGGAUAUCUAAAUUUAUUGACCCAAUAAACUUGAUCAACGAACCAAGUUACCCUAGGGAUAACAGCGCAAUCUUAUCUGAGAGUCCCUAUCGAAGAGAAGGUUUACGACCUCGAUGUUGGAUCAGGAUAUCCAAGUAGU